rnacentral:lncRNA from 1 species
GAGACUUAAGAGUCUUUCUUCAAUUGAGUUAAAUUAAUGAGGUAAGAUAAUCGGAUAUAGGCACUCGAAUCAUUAUCAAACAUUGUUAACAAAUUAUGCUAUGUAACCAAUGGCGAAUUAAUUGGUGGAUCUUUUUCAGUUAAUUAUUUCAGUAAGAAUUCAUCAUAAGAUAGCACUACUAUGGGUUAAGACCAUUCGACCUCCAACAGGCUUAAAAGUGUUCGUAGGUGGGCUUACAGCGAAAGCCCAAUAUGUCAUAGCCUUUUGAAACAACCAGCCUUCUCCAAUUGCCUCAUAUGAGGGUGAGCUCAAGUGAUUAACCAUUGGUUUGGGUGGUUUCAGCGGUGUUGCUUCUGGAGGGCGUCCUACCACAGCAGAGGUCGCCCUUAUAGGCCCGCUCAGAUGCCUCGUCCAUUUCAUCGUGGUGCAUCAGCUAUCCAUGUUUCAUACAAUGCCCGUCUGGGUCAGUCAUCUCUCCGUGCCCUCCUAGAUUAGAGUUCAUCCAGUGCUCCAUCUGUUCAGGGUUCAUCUGUGCCAUGUUCCAACCUAAGUUAAAUCCAGCUCUAAAGCUUCCAAAUGGAUUUGGGCCUCCAUAACGAGCCCAUCAGUGGACAUGAAUAGGGGUGGACAACAAACUUACAAUUACAGUUCAAAAUAAAAUGAAAAACUACAAUACAAAUAGUCACAAAUAACUUGCGUAAUUUUUUGCUAAUUGCAAGUUGCAACAACUGAUAGAACAAAUUAUUACAAUCCUAUUUCAAAUGAGUUUUACACAAAUCAGUGUUAACAGAAAUAACCCUCAAAUUUCAAACUAAGAACUAAAACUCAGCUAUUACAAUCAGUGGGCCCUUUUUACAUCUGUGAAGCCCCGAAUCAAAUCAUGCACUGGUCAUAAUUCCAAAUCUCAAUACCAAUGUUCUCAAUGUUCUAAACCUUAGUUACAAAUCUGUCAGUAAUCAACCAAACUCCCUAUACAACGUCAAUUUCUAGUUAACAAAAUUCCAGUCAUGAAUCGAAUCAUAUGAGUCAGAGAAACAGAUUUCAUGGUUAUUCACAUUUUUCAUAUUAAUCAAAUCAAACAAAUCUAGUUUCAACUCAAAUUUACAGUCACGAGAAAAGCAUUUGAUAACAUGUGAAUGAACAAAUUUCAGCAAAUUAUGUAGCAUAAGGAGGUCCAAUCAACAAUUACAUUUGAGAUUUGAGACAAAUACCUCAAAAGCUAUGAAAACACACUUAGAAGAGCUAAAUAAAGGCUGAAUCAGACAUAUUUGAGCUAGAAGAAGCAAAGAUUAGCAGGUUCAACAGUAAAGCAGCAGCAGACAGCUUCAAUUCCAGAUGAAAAUCAGUCUUUGAAGUCUAGGCGAGCAAUAUAGAAUACUUACUUCAGUCAACAAUAGCAACUAAUUGUUUUUGAGUAUGAAACUAAGCCUAAACCUUAUGUUUUUCCUCUCAGUUUUUAAAAGCUAGAAAAAUCAAAUCACAGAAAAGGAACUUUCAAUCUAAAUAUCUGUUCUCAGCUCCUUUUCGUGUGUGAAGGGUGAGUUACUAUUUUAUAGACUACUCUAGGGCUGCAUUCACAUUUUUCUUUUCUUUUAAAUAACUUCUUUUCUGUUUUUUUACUCACCCAGUCCUUAAUAACUGACCCUCUGCUCAGUCUUUUCUUGCUAAACAGUCCCCUUUUCCAUUACGAGGAAGCUUCCUAGCAGUUAUUAAAAGAUUCCCUAGAUUGAAUUCCCCAAUUACCUCUUAAACCCCUGUGAUUACCAAUUUCUUUCAGCAUUAGGCCUGGGCCAGAUGCCAAUAAGCCCAGGAUCGAUCACUAGACCUGUUGCCCUUCUCAAACUCAAAACUUUAAUCUAAUGGGCCCAACCCACGACCAAACAAACCAAGAGCUCAUGCUCAGAUUGAAGAUUAGGUAAAUAAUUUUGAAUUCAGAACAGAUUCUUAAACUAAUUAUCAAGCAAUUACAACUAAUUAAUCCCAAUUACGAACCAAAACAUGCUUUAGACAUAAUUUCAAAAACUAGAACACACUUACAGAAAAGGGAAGAAAAUUUUACCAAUUGACGUCAAAGAGUUCCGGCGAAUGAGAUGAACUCUAAUGGCAAUCAAUUAAACUCCGGCGAGCAAAGACUUUGGCAAGUAAUGAAAAUUGUAACAUAAGCAUUGGCCGAAAUUUCUUCAAACGGCUAGUGCUUCAUGUCACAAUUCUCAUUACACGCUAAAAAGAGGAAGAGACAGAUUCAAGGCGACUCUGGCCGGUCAACGGCCAUUUGACCGGAAUCCAGACGCCGUGAAAUAAGUCAGAACCAACAUCAAUCAACUGCUCUCAUCAAAAGCAGUCGAUUGAUGUAGGUGUCACUACCAAAAAGGGCCAGAUUAGGAAGAAAUCAGAAAGGGGAUGAAAAGGUUGAAUUUUUAUUUUUCUGGUUCACUAAUCGAGAAGUUUGGAUGGGUUUUGGGGAAAUAGAUGAUGGAUUAAGGAUGAUGAGUAUGUGAGGAGUAUUUGGUAAGAUUUUGGGAGCAUUUGGCGCUGAUUCGCCGCCGGGAGGCGAAUUC